CUACGUAGGGUGCAAGCGUUAAUCGGAAUUACUGGGCGUAAAGCGUGCGCAGGCGGUUUUGUAAGACCGAGGUGAAACCCCCGGGCUCAACCUGGGAACUGCCUUUGUGACUGCAAGGCUAGAGUACGGCAGAGGGGGUUGGAAUUCCGCGGGUAGCCGGGAAAUGCGUAGAUAUGUGAAGGAACACCGAUGGCGAAGGCAAUCCACUGGGCCUAGACUGACGCUCAAGCACGAAAGCGUGGGUAGAAAACAGGGUUAGAGACCCUGGUAGUCCACGCCCUAAACGAUGUCAACUGGGUGUUGGGUCUGCAAAGUCCCAGUAACGAAGCUAACGCGUGAAGUUGUCCGCCUGGGGAGUACGGCCGCAAGGUUGAAACUCAAAUGAAUUGACGGGG
rnacentral:rRNA from 1 species